UACGUAGGGGGCGAGCGUUGUCCGGAUUUAUUGGGCGUAAAGAGCGUGUAGGCGGCCAGGUAGGUCGGUUGUGAAAACUGGAGGCUUAACCUUCAGACGUCGACCGAAACCAUCUGGCUAGAGUCCGGAAGAGGAGAGUGGAAUUCCUGGUGUAGCGGUGAAAUGCGCAGAUAUCGGGAGGAACACCAAUGGCGAAGGCAGCUCGCUGGGACGUUACUGACGCUGAGACGCGAAAGCGUGGGGAGCAAACAGG
rnacentral:rRNA from 1 species